AAUCAUGGAUCAUGGGCACUUUCUCCGAAGAGGUUCUCGGCUAUGCCGUCGGUCUUCAAACUGCAGCUGAAGUGUGGACAGUGUUAACCAAUCACAUCAAGCUUCAUCGCUCGUGAAUUCGACCUACUCGCACAGCUACAACACAUCAGGAAAGGAAUAAUCAUUUACCUACUUAUCUUCGUAAUUUUAAGUCAAUUUGUGAUCAACUGCAAGCUAUUGGCAAACCUGUUUCGGAUUCGACCAAAGUUUUUAGGUUACUAGAAGGGCUCGAUGAAAGCUAUGUCCCGUUCAAGACAACUAUAUUCCGACCUCCUAUUCCACUAUAUACGGAGGUGGUUCCCCAACUCUAAAGCUAUGAACUAUGAAUCAAGCGAUACUUAAGCCCAGCUCCUGAUGUGUCUACGGAAGCAAUCGGCACAGAGGCCAAGAUAGGGGCCCUAACUUCAACUCCCGAUGUCGUAUGUUCCUCAAAUGACCCAAGGUGGCAUAUUAGGGCACUAUCAAUCUACUCCACCGCCUGGGGCUAAUCGCGCAGCCUAGACUUCCUCUACCGGCAGCAAUCCUCUCACUUGUCAAAUUUGUAAAAAGCGAGGCCAUGAUGCUCUGCGAUGCUAGUUUCAUAUCGAUAACAGCUAUCAAAGUGAUGACAUUCCCCGCAAUCUAGCUUUUCUCCAUAUCACUGACGUGCAUGAUGAUGAAUGGCAUCCCGACACUAGUGCCAAUGCUCAUAUCACAGAUAAGCCAGAUAACCUUACUAACUUGGUUCCUUAUUUCGGAUCUGAUAGUGUGAUGGUAGGAGAAUGAACUUCCCUACCAAUUACUCAUGUGGGAACCACUUCUUUUGGUAAUGGUAUUCAUCAUUUUUCACAUCCUAAUGUCCUAAUUGUCCUGCAAAUGAAAAAAAAUCUUCUCUUUGUUUUCAAAUUGACAAAAGAUCAUCCAUGCUAUUUUAAAUUUGAUGCAUCUGGAUUUUCUAUUAAGAAUUCUAGGACACACCAAGUACUAAUGAAAGGAAAUUAUCAUCAAGGGUUAUACACUAAUAAAGAUCCGCACGUUACAGCUUUCUUCUGUCAGCGAAAUAAGGUGACCAAUGAACUCACUUGGCAUCAUCAAUUAGGCCACCCGAAUAGCCAAAUCUUGCACCAUUUGCAGAGUAAUACUUUUAUUUCAGUAACUAAGUCUUUUGGCACUUUGUAUACAAGCUGUCAAAUCACCAAAAGUUCAAAAUUACCAUUCUAUGUAUCUGAUUCUUAAUACUCUUUUCCUUUGAAUAAAUUAUAUUGUGACAUUUAGGGACCUGCGCUGGUAUCUUCAGUGAAACAUUUUCAAUAUGACGUAGUAUUUAUUGAUGAUUUUUCUCGUUACUGUUGAUUAUAUCCAUUAAAGUGCAAAUCAAAUUUUUUGGAUAUUUUUCUCACCUUCCAAAAAUUGGUUGAAAUCAAUUUGAAAGAAAAAUUAAAAAAUUUCAAUCGGAUGGCGGGGGUGAAUUAAUUUGUUAGUAAUGUCUUUCUAUCUCAUCUUCGCAAUUGCGGUAUCCAACACCAGCUUUCAUGUCCGAGCACACUAGAACAUAUUUAGUUCUAUCUGAGGGAAGCAUCGCUGCAUUGUGGAACUCGGGCUCACUAUACUAUCUGAGGCCUUAAUGCCCUACUGCUACUGGGUAGAGGCUUUCACCACCAUUAAUUAUUUGAUCAAUAAGCUUCUGUCUGCAGCACUGGGCAAGAAAAGCCCAUAUUCAAUUCUUUUAAAAGAGGAUCCCGACUAUUCACAUCUUUGUACUUUUGGAUCUUGUUGCUUUCCAUAUGUCACGCCUUGCCAUCCCUUCACCAAAUAGGUAGAAAGAGCCCGCAUGGGCACAUGCACAAAACCCACUGAACGGAUAGGGUCUUUCCCUACCCGCCCAAGGCGUCACAAACAUGCAUACACAAAAUAUUCCAAAUAGGAAUGGGAUACAUGAAUUGUGUAAGAUAAGCAUCACACAACAUAUGUAAUAUCAUCUCUAAUACAACAUUCCAUCUAUUUGUAUAUAUGCUUUUACAUUCAAAUUUACACCUCAAAAUACAGUUCACCUGUUUUUUCAUUCAUUACAUUAUUCCAAAGAGGGUACAUCUAUGAAAAUAAAACCAAAAAAGGGAAGGACGCUAUCUACUGCUCCACACCCUUUCCUCUCUUCGCCGCGUCCGGCUCAAAUGGACCUGAAAAACAAGGGUGUGAGAGCUAUAUAAAUAGUUCCCAGUAGGUAUGGCCACCCAAGAGAAAAGCUCGACCCACUAGGUCCAAAGAAGGCAAAGAAAAUACGGGUUAGUCCAAUACAAUCAUAUAAACACGAAUAGCUUAUGCCUCAAUUACAAACAUACAUUACAUCCUAUAUUAGUAAUGUAAAUUCCAUUUACUCUCUCAGUUCCACCUUCUCACCCUAUUACCUAUCUCAUCCAUGAGACAAUUGUUAGUGGAGCACCGCCAUCCUCUUAUAGGCAUUAGGUGGCGAGGUUAUCGUCCACCCCCGGCCGCAAAUCCUCAACUUGUGAAGUCGCAUCUUCCUUUGGCAUUAGGUGUCAUUCCGUGCACCCCCGACCGCCAGAGUUAUUGUCACGCCCCAGACCGCACCGCCCGAAAACGGUACCAAUUUGGUCCGAUUCGAGGGCGGCGUGCGCGACCGCCGAACGGACAGAGUCUCCCCUGUCCGCCCAAGGCUAAGCAACGGAUUGUGUACAACAAGUCCCCAGGAAAACAACUUGCAUUCAUACACAAUCAACAACGAAACGAAAGCACAAACAGUGCUAUAACCAACUAGAGCAAGCGAUACAAGUAAAAUCAUACAAGUAUACAAAAGAGAGAAACUUAGCUAUUUAAACCAUAAUUGAAACAUUUAACCUCUUUCGAUAACAUUUUUAAACUUUAAUCAUUUAAUACAACUCGCAUUCUUUUCUCAAAUGAAUAUACAUCAUGAACUCUCCAAAACCUCACCCUAUACAACAUCUACUCUCAAAAGAUAACCAAAAGUACAGGGUAUAGAGCUAAUGCAAGUAGGUAAGGUAGGCUAUCUACCAAAAGCUAGGGCGCUAUGCCCUUACCACGAUCCAUCGCCGAAGGCCCGCUGUCCAGUGUACCUGUACCCCCAAAGCCACACGGGGGUGAGAACUACGAAUAGUUCCCAGUGGGUUCGGCCGCCGACUCCGCCGAUCUACCCACUAGGUCUCAAGCAGGCAUAGAGAGAUAUAUAUGCAAUAUAUAUAAAACUGAGCUAAACUGAAAGCAGUAUGUAACCACUAUAUCAAGCUAUGCCUCAAUCUGGAAUCGUGAAUGCAUGAACAAAUAAUAGAGCUGGGUAAGUAAGCAACUAUCAACAUCUACGACGGCUAUCAUAGCAAGCUAUAAACAUGCUACUAGGUAGGCAAACAAGCUGAAAUGAACAAUAAAUAGCUACUAUGAACAUCAAUCAUGGGUAAGACUCAAGGGGUAACCCAAUCCUCAAGUGAACGCAAGGUUCACAAGCAAUGCUCACAUAUCAAUCUCCUAGGGAUGCCAAACUGGUCGAUCCCCGAGUACGCCUGCGGAUAACAAGCGGCUAUCCGAGCAGCGAGCAGGGCUGCCUCUCUAGUGACCAAACUCCGGAGCGCACAACCUGAGGGGAGCGACCCCACCAAGCGCAGACAGGCAAUGUGAGCAAGAUCAUCUCACGAGCAACAACAACAACCCCUUUGAGGGUAAUAUCAUCAUGGAAGCAAGGUAUACAUGUACCCAAUCUCAUAGUGUCUCAACUACACUAACGUGAUCAUCUCAAGGAACAUCAUCAAUGUCAAUCAUCAUAGUUUUUCUAACUAGAUGCCACUUGUCAUAGUUUUCUAAACUAGAUGUCACUCAUCAAUUUUGACUCAUUAUUAACACUAGUUUCAUCAUACUAGUUCUUUAGCAACAUAAACAUUAAUCAUCUCAUAUAGGGUCUAGAUUCUCAACAUGUAGUUUUCAUCAACAAUCAUCAUGCAUACUAGAUCAUAACCAACCAAGCAAAAUAUAUUUAUUGAACUACUAGCAUGCAAGUAUAAGCAACAAUAAUCAUUUUCUAACCCUAUAUGAACAUAAGCAAGAUGCAAUAGAUCAACUUUAAACUUAGACAUAGAGGGUUGCCCGAUGACUUCGGGAUGGCACUCCCCCACCUUGGGUGAUGCCGAAAACACUCCGAGACGCGUCCUCGUGCUAGUCUUGUCGCCGCUUAAUUUUUCGUUGGGUUAACUUUAACCCUUUAGCGCACCAAAUAGCGAUAUCUUCGCACUCACUAGUCGGAUCGACGAACCGUCUUCGCCUACGCGUUUAUAAGCAUAGGAAUUAGGUUUCCAAAUCCUCAAAAGAGAUCAAACCCUAAUAUUAGCAAAAUCCCCAAAUCUAACCCUAGGUUUAGCAACAAUAGAGAGAUCAUGGUUUCAAGCUCCAAACUUGGGAUUGAACCUUCUCUUAAGCUCCAAUGGUUCCCAUUUGAACCAUACUUAAGUAACAAAACCCUCUCAAAACCUAGGUUUAGCAUAAAUGAGGAAAACCAUGGGUGCUAGCUUCAAUGUGAGCUAAAUCCAUCAUCUCUAAACUCAUUAGGUUUCCCAUUUGAACCAUCAAAAGCAAAAAAACCAUCCAUAACCCUAGAAAUCCAAAACUAGGUUAAGGCUUACCUCUAGGGUUUCUCCAAGCAAGCCCUAAGCGGAUGAGGUGAAGAAAAGCUCCAAAACCUUCUUCUCCUUCUUCUCCUUCCUUUUCUUCCUUCUUCUCCUUCUUUUUCCUCUCUUUUUCCUUUCUCUUCUUCUCCCUCCUUCCUAUCGUUAGAGAGAGAGAGAGCUAGAGAAGAGAGAGUGAGCUGGGGGAGAGUUGAAGAUGGAGAGAAGCUGAGAGAAAGGGAUAUAACCUCUAUUGUACAAAUGCUAAACAAGCCUCCCUUCUCAACAGAUUGCAACUUAACCCCCUGCUUGGCCGCCUUUGUACGCGUACAUCGGUUUCGCUUGUACGUUACAAGCACUGCGAAUCAGCGAACAGAGAGGCAAACACCGAGCUCGGGUUGCUCGGUCGCGCGGUUUUUGUACCGGUAAAGCGCCUUGUCCGUACAGACCAUUGGAGCACUGUUCCGCCGAUGUUGUACCCGGUACAGCCACCAAGCGCUGUACCGGUACACACUCACAAGAAUGCUGUUUCUUAAGCUGUUUCGGUUCUUUUCGCACCGAGCAACGCUAAAACCAAUCCAACACCUUUGGAACUCAUUUUUACUCUUCCAAACAUGUCGAAACACCGAAUGGAACUUAUCCAAUUCAUUUAAUCGCCCACUUUGGCCCAUUUGGCCAAGGUUAGCUAAUAUCGUCGAAAUUCGAUAUCUUACAGUUAUUGGUAGCGAGUUCAUCCAUCUCACCCCUCACCUUGGUAUUAGGUGGCUGUAACAUACCGAAACUUUGGUAGGAUGUACCGAACUUCAGUCAAAUUGACCGAAGCGUGGUAAUGAACGAAUUGGAGAGGUCGGUUGGAUGUCCUGGACAUUUCAGAAUGGUUUAAUAGGUGCUUGGACCUUGGAGAGCGAAGUUGGUGAAAUUCCAAGCUUGUUGUGCUGGAAGUGCUCUCGGGGUCCGGACCCUAGUUGUAGGGUCUGAACCCCAUACACGAAAAAUUCUGAGUUGGUCUAGAAUGUUAUAAUUGUGAGGGGCCUUGGUGCAAAUGUCCUUUGGGAGUGUUUAUAUGAGAGGUCUUAGCCAUUCCUCUCAUUUCCCCUCACACCCACAACAUUAGAGAAGACUCUCUUUCUCUCCUAGGGUUUGCUCUAAAAGGUGGAGAUUGGUGGAGAGGAGCUCACUUGAAGGUGAAGUAGCCUUCUCUUACAAGCUUGGCUUGGAAGAGAGCUUGGAUUAGAGGUAAGCCUCAUGAGGUUUUAAAGAUUUUUGAGUUAGCGUUUGUGUAAAUCCUUUAGGAAUGAGUUUAUGUGGAACCCUAGGUAAACCUACCUUGAUUAUCACAUGAAUCAUGAAGAGUUGGGAGUAUCUUUGCAAUAAAUAGGUUUCUAGGGUUCAAAAGAGGGUUUUGUGGUUAGGUGGGUUUUUGAUCUCAAUUGAUCUCUUGUAGCCCUAAUUGGUGGAUAAACUGACGCAUUGGAAGACUCGGAUUGGAGUUUCGACGAUCUACGUCAGGAUAUUGGAGAAAAACCUCAUUUUGGCUUCGUUUGCCGUGGGUCGAGGGUAAUCGACAACCAUAAAUCGUGAGACCUGAGUUUUAGCCUUCCGGCAUCACUAUGAGGUGGAUGGUGCUAUCCGAAAUCAUCGAAUUUCUCAUUAUGUCUAUGUUGCCUUUUUUUAGCAUAUAUGUAUACUUGUGGCAUUCAUGCAUGAUAGGGUUAUUGUGAUACGUGGCUAUGGUAUGGAAUCUCUUGUAUGCUUUCAAUGUAAAAAAAUAUAUGAAUUGAUAAUGGACCAUACAUAUAGAAAUCCUAUAAAUGUAUGAAUUGAAUGUUGGACUAUAACAUUAAUAAAUAAAUGUGACAUUGAGACUAGAGGGUAUGAAUAGCACCUAAGAACAUGGUAUGCUAGACAAGGUAAAACCUUAUGAGCGUUGUGGCAACAGUGGUAUGGUAUCCUCAAAGUAGAGGAUUAGAUUAUACUCACCUUGGGUCUAUUAUGCUUGGGGGUGGUUGCUCCACCUCAAGCGGUGAACUCCGGAGUGGUUACCAACUGGGUUGUAGCGGAAUUCUCCCCAGUAGACAGUCCCGUCGAGUUGUAGCGAAAUUCUCCCCGAUAGAAAGGGAUUUGGGUGGUGAGUUGGGGUUAACCAUGAGUAAACCGAGAGGAUUGGGCCAAGGCAAAAGGUAAAAGUGAAAUGCAUGCAUUAUGAGCAUAUACUUGUUUCUUGUACAGGUAUUGUAGUAGCAUUAGUAUAGUUUGCUAUCUAUCUCUUAUUUUUCUACAUAUGCUUGAAUAGACCUGGUGGGUGAGUCGGCGGGUCGGCAGCCGAACCCACUCGGAACUUUCAUUAGUUCUCACACCACCUUGCAGAUCCUAGCGCGAGUGGGAUGGUCGAGGAUCGCGGCAAGGGCAUCGCGCCCUAGAUAGCGGCUCCGCAAGUAUAGUUUAUACCCUACUUACUUCCAUCUUUUGUAUUUGAUGAAAAGUGUGAUGUAAAUGGAUAUGUAUAAAUGAUGUAAAUGGCAUAUGUUUUGUUGAAGGACAUGUGAUGUAUUUAGAAAAAGAAAAGAAUGUAAAUAUGUAGAAAGCUUGUAUUUGGUUAAAUUUAAUCAAGAUACAUAUGUGGAUGUAAUAGUAGUACUUUCACUUGCUUGGUUGUUGCUUGUCCUUGUACAAGCCAUGUAUACUCGAAUACUAUCUGUGUGAAUUGUUAUACAUGUUGUGUUGAGCUUUGGGUGGACAGGGGAGGUUCUGUCAGUUCGGCAUCUGUAGACGUACCCGAACCGACCCAAUUGGCAGUCGCGGGGCGUGACAGUGGCUUUCCGCACACCCCCGACCAUAGGCUUGUGGGCAUCAAAUCAUCCCUUUAGCAUUAGGUGGAAAUUUUGCACAUCCCCGGUCAUAAGUUGUUAGGAGUUUCGGAAUUCCUUCAUUCUAGGUUACAUAGGUCCAUUACAUGGGUCCAUUCCUUUACCCUACAAUUUCUAAGUUCAUGUCAUAUGAUUCAAGUAUAUGAUUCAAGUAGUGUCUUGUCUACUACAUUUUCCACCGCUAUGUUCCGAUAGCACUAGGUUUUCUAUUUUCAUGUAUCAAGUUCUCUAAUAUCCCUAGAGAAAAUCAAUCUUCUACCUAGUCCAUAACAUUGGUUUACUCAACCAUGCAUGCAUACAAUCAUCCCUUGAAAAUUAGCGUCCUAAUUAGCAUGCAUUACUUAUUACAUGCAAGUACAUCCACUUAUACAUUUAGUAAUCAAUGCUACAUGUGUUUAUUCCCACAAGUUUUCAUCAUGUAGCCACUAAGUCUCAAUACUACACUUUAGACAUGAGAGGUGACCAAGUUACUUCGAUGCACACAACCCACCUUAAGCUCGAUAAUGCACUCUAUUUGCUUGUAGUCACUUGCAAAUAGAGCCUUCUUACUUAUGCCACAAGCUUAUCUCCAAUCUUCUUGCCCUAACACAAGAGAAAUGGUUUGUUACCAUUUUUGAACCUUAAAACAGUUUUAUUUCAUGGAAUCAUGUUGUCCCCCAUGAUUUCCAAUCCCUUAAUUACGGUUUUAAAGGGUUAAACAAUUUUUAAACCCCUUAAAUCCAAAGACCCUCUCUCAACCCAGGGUUUCCGAAAACUAUGGCAAAAACCCAAUUCUAUUUGCUAAUCUCUACAAUUUGUAGUCAAGAUUAGCCUAGGUUUGAUAAAAAUCCAUUUAGAAACCCUAAAUCCAAAACCCUAGUUUUUAAAUCCCAAAAAUCUCACCUUCGCCACAAGCUCACUCCUUCUUCUUACUCAAGAAGAGGGUUCUCUGACUGCAAUCCUUCCUCCAAACUAGCUUCUCAAAACUCCUAGGGUUGGAAAGCUCCAAGGAAGAAAGAGAGAAGAGAGAAAAGAGUGAGAGAGAGGAGGAGAGGGCUUUUCCUUUGGUGUCCAAAGAGGGAAAAAGGGGAUGGUCCCCCUCCUUUUAUAAUGGGUUGCAAAAUUGCAGCAAACCCCUCAAACUCUCACUCACCCAGCCAGCCAAAAUUGGCAUUUUGGGACACUACGUAUCGAUACUCGAACACGCGUAUCGUACACGGCAGUGCUGGUUCCAGUACCCGGUUCCCAGUUCCGCAGAACCCGAACGUUGGGUUUUUUGUCACUCUAUUGUGUACCGAUAUCCAAUUCCCAGUACUAGUACCCAAUACAAAGUUUGCAAGUUAGUACCGAUACCGAGUCUACAAUUCCUUAGAACACGAGAGCUUAGUUCCCAGCUUUUGUACUAUAUACCGGUACCUAUAUUUAAUAAUUUAGCAGCAAUUUACUAUUAAUAUUGCAAAAUACAAUAAAUUAGCAGCAUAAAUUAGUGAAUCCCGCUGAAGUUUCAAGCAUUUUAUAAAAAAUGACACAAAAUGUAAUAGCAGCACGUAUUGCUAAAUGCCGCAAUAUUUGAUCCGCAACAUUUAUUUAAAUCAUGCUAAUUAAUAUAUCUAGCAGCAUUACUUGAUAAUUGCCGUUAGAUUUAAUUAUUUAGCAGUAAUUUACUAUUAAUGUUGCAAAAUAGGAUAAAUUAGUAGUAUAAAUUAGUGAAUACCGCUAAAUAUAAUAAACUAGCAGCACUGUUGCUAAAUAUCGUUACUAAUUAAUAUAUAAUUAUUAAUAUAUCCCUUUUUAUUUAGAAUUAAAAUUUUAAAAUUUAAGUUUAAAAUUCGAAAUAUAUAAUUUUAAAAAUUAAACUCAUAAUUUAAAUUUUAAAAUUUUAAAAUUUAUAUUUUAAAUUUUAAAUUCUAAAAUGUUAAUAUUUAAUUUUUAUUUUUAAAAUUUUAAUUUUAAAAUUUUUAAAUUCAUUUUAAAUUUAAAAUUUCAAAUUUAAAACUAUAAGUUUUGAAACUUAAAAUUUGAUAUUUGAAAAUUAAAAAUUUAAGUUAAGUAUCUAAAUUUAAAAUUUAAAAUUUAGAAUUUAAAAUUUUAAAAUAUAAGACUGAAAAUUUAAAAAAUUAAAACAUACAUAACUAAUAGUCGCUAGCGCAAGUGGUGCAAAGGACUUGGUGGUUGGUAUGCGAGGUCUCAAGUUCGAAUCCUAAUUGAUUCACAUUUCCACCAAAGUUUAUUUCUAAAAGAAAUAAACAAAGCGGAUAGCAUCUCAAAAAAAUUAAAAAUAAAAUUAAAAUUUUAAAAUUUUAGUUUCUAAAAUCAGAUAUUUGUAUUAGCGGCAUUAUAUUUAUGUGCCACUAAUAAAUAAUUUAAAAUUAGCAUUUAAUUCUUUUUAACGGUAUGUUCCUAAUGACACUAAUUGAUUUACAUUGGCGACAUUUAUUAUAAAUGCUGCUAAUACUUUUAGCAACAUUGGCAUAUGCAGCAUUUGGUGUCAUAUGCUGCUAAAAUUUUAGCAGCAUUUGUUGAUCGUUUAGAAGUAUAAAUAAAUGCUAUUAAUGACUAAUUUUCUAGUAGUAUGGGAGAAAGAGUUUUCUCUUUGGUGUCCAAAGAGAGGAAAAGGGUCGGUCCCCCUUCUUUUAUAAUAGAUUGCACAAUUGCAGCAAGCCCCCCAAACUCUCACUCACUUAGCCAGUCAAAACUGGCAUUUCGGGACACUGUGUACCGAUACUCGAACUUGUGUGCCGCUACAUGGCAGUGCUGGUUUUGGUACCGGUUCCUAGUUCCACAGAACCCGAACGUUGGGUUUUCUGUCACUCUAUUGCGUAUCGACAUCCAAUUCGUAGUACCAGUGAAAGUUUUGAAUAGCCCAAGGAUCUAUCUAGAUUGUAUCUAUCACCUAGAGGGGGGUGAAUAGGUGAAAGGCCAAAAACCACAAAUCUCGAUACAAUAAAAAUAAAUGCGUAAAAUAAAAAACACACCGAGAUUUACGUGGGAAAACUCCAACUUGGAGAAAAACCCACNCUAGCUUCUUAGGUUCUGAAGCUUCUUAGCCUUUCCUGCGUUUUGUGCAUUUUGUACUUAGUGCUACGCAUCCAUUCGAAAUUUAGAACAAAUGCCACUAAGUAUGAAUUAAUAUCUAGAAUCUUAGUACAAAAGUUCAACAUUAACUAAUCUUUCAAAGAUUCUCAAACAUUUUAGGUUUUGUUACGUAAAAGUCGCUUUUAACGUAACGAUAUGGCCAUGUUCUGAAAAGACAGGUCCCAUGUCGGUAGUUGCAAACGCGUCUUCAAACUACCAACAAGGCCAUGUUCGAAGUGCGACAUGGCCAUGUUCGGGACAAGGCCUUGUUCGUUGUCGGAUAGGUCCCAUGUCCUUGAAGCGUCUUUUUAGAAGGCAGUACCACAUGGGACCUGUUGUAAGGAACAAGGCCAUGUUCCACGACAAAAACCUUUAUUUGAAAGAUUAAGCUGAGGUUAACUAAGAUUUCAGAUAUUUAUUCGAUAACCCGAAGAGAUUAACUAGUUCGUAGUGCUUUUAUGUAUAAACUCUUUGGGAUCUCCGAGCCUAAACUAGUUUUUGGAUAAAAGAUGUUUUUCGGAGAAAAUCUAGUUUAGCUCUAUAACUUUAAACUUUAAUUAUACAGCUAAACUAGAGGCGAAACGAACCUCAAGAUAAGGAACCAAAAGAUGUUGUGAGGUUUCGCUUCCUAGUGGUAUAAGUACUAUAAGAAGUACCACCGCAGCACCUAAGCCGCAUAAACUGCCGCCAAGCACCUAAGCUUAGCACCCGAACACCUAAGCUCACCGCAGCACCUAAGCCGCACUAACUUCGAAGCACCUAAGCUUCACCUCCGCAAGCACCUAAGCCUGCACUCCCGCACCUGUUGGGCCUCCCAUCGCGCUUCUAAGUAUCCUCCAAUUCUCUCCAUCUCAGGCACCUCAGCCAUUAGUGGAACAUUAGAAAAGAGAAUCACUUAACAAAAAAGCGCACAACCAGGGCACCCAAAAAGAGGUUCAACCUCAAAAGGGUGCAUUUAGUUCAAUACUCCGCUCCGAACUUCUUCAAGAUUCCGACUCGACCCACGAAACUUGCCAACACAUAGACCUAACAACCAGUACCCAAACUAAAAUUCCACAAACCCGAGAGCUGACUUCCCAGCAUUUUAUUACGUACCAAUACCCAGACUCUAGUACUGGUACCUAAUACAAAAUUCACAGAUCUUUUUCUGGUAUUCAAGUCUCGGCUCCUCAAUGCGCGAGAGCUCACUUCCCACUAUCUAUAUUGCAUACCAGUACCCAAAACUCAGUACCGGUACUCAAUGCAGAAUCUGCAACUUUGGUAGAUUUGAUAUUUAAAAUCCGUUGUCGUGCCAAUUUGUGCCGAAAACAUUCGAUUAUUCUCCAAAUCUUGUCGGGACUAUUUGAACGGCUUCUUAAGGCACUUUUCACUAGAACUCUAUAAUUUGCAGAUGUUCGGUACACUACACCCCUCACCCCUUAAAAGAGUUUCAUCCGUGAAACUAAAAGCAUAUCUCAAUUGGAAUCGACAAAGUGGUGAUGGAAACGCACUUUCAUUGAGCUUUUCAGCUCCCAAGUGGCUUCAUGCUCGUCAUGAUUUGUCCAAUGCACUUUGACAUAAGGGAUAAUGCGAUUUCGUAAUUCUUUCACCUCGCGAGCAAGAAUGCACAUUAGGUACUCCUCAUACGUCAUGUUCUCUUGAAGCUCCACCGGUUCAUACUGAAGGACAUUCCUCGCAUCAUGUACAUAUAUACCUUUUUUUGGAGUGUGGAUAUGUGAAACACAUUAUGAACUCUAGCAAGCCUCAGUGGUGGCGCGAGUCGAUAUGCCAAAGGUCCCACGCGCUCCAAAAUCUCAUACAGUCUAAUAUAUCGAGGACUCAACUUACCCCGAAGCCCAAACUGCUUUACUAUGCUCAUAACUGUCACGCCCCGUGACCGCCAAUUUGGUCGGUUUGGGUACGUUUACAGACGCCGAACGGAAAACACCUCCCCUGUCCGCCCAAGGCUCAACAACAUCAACAUGUAUAACAAUUCAAACAAGAAGAACUUAGAUACACAUGGCUUGCUCGAAGGCAAGCAAUUACCAAGCAAGUGAAAAUACUACCACUAUUACAUCAUACAUGAUUACCUUUAACCAAAUACCAGUUUUCCACAUAUUACACUCUUUUUCCAAAUGCAUUACAUAACCUUCAUCAAAAGUAUAUACCCCCUAAUCAUUUACAUCAUUUACACAUGUCCAUUUACUUCACACUUUUCAUCGUAUACAAAAGAUGGAAGUGAGUAGGGUAUAAACUAUACUCGGAAAGCCGCUAUCUAGGGCGCAAUGCCCUUGCCGUGAUCCUCGACUGCCUCGCUUGCGCUAGGAUCUGCAAGGUUAACGGUGUGAGAACUAAUGAAAGCUCCCAGUGGGUUCGGCAAUGGGUUCGACUGCCGACCCCGCUGACUCACCCACUCGGUCUACUCAGGCAUAUGUAGGAAAAGAAGAGAUAGAUAGCAAACCAUGCUACUACAAUGCCUGUACAAGAAUUGAACAACAAGUAUAUGCUCAUGAUGCAUGCAUUUCACUUUUACCUUUUGCCUUUACCCAAUUCUCUCGGUUAACUCAUGGUUAACCCCACUCACCACCCAAAUCCCUUUCUAUCGGGGAGAAUUCCACUACAACCCAACGGGACCGUCUACUGGGAGAAUUCCGCUACAACCCAGUUGGUGACCACUCCGGAGUUCACCGCUUGAGAUGGAGCGACCACCCUCAAGCAUAAUAGACGCAAUGUGAGUAUAAUCCAAUCCUCUACUUUGAGGAUACCAUGCCACUAUUGCCACAAUGCUCAUAAGGUUUUACCUCGCCUAGCAUACCAUGUUCUUAGGUGCUAUUCAUUUCCUCUUGUCACAAUGUCACAAUGUCACCUUGUUUACUAUUGUCAUAGUCCAACACUCAAUUCAUACAUUUAUAGGGUUUCUAUAUGCAUUGCCUAUUAUCAUUCCAUAUGCACUUUACACUGAAAGCAUACAAGAGAUCCCACAUCCUAGCCACAUAUCACAAUAACCCUACAAUGCAUGAAUGUCACAUGUAUACAUAUAUGCUCAAAAAAGGCGACAUAGACAUGAUGAGAAAUCCGAUGAUUUCGGAUAGCUCCACCCACCUCGUAGUGAUGCCGGAAGGCUACAACUUAAGUUUCAUGUUUUAUGGUCGCCGAUCACCCUCGACCCACCACAAACGAAGCCGAAAUGAGGUGUUUCCCCAAUAUCUCUACGUAGACUCGUCGGAACUCCAAUCUGAGUCACCCAACGCGUCAGCUUAUCCACCAAUUAGGGCUACAAGAGAUCAAUUGAGAUCAAAACCCACCUAACCGAAAAACCCUCUUUCGAAAUAAUAAAAACUCAUAUAAUCCAAAUUUCUUUGUGGUUCAUGCAAUAGCUUAGAUCAAAAUCACUUAGGGUUCCGUUUAAACUCAUUUCAGGGAUUUAUACAAAACCCUGACUCAAAAACCCUCAAAUCUCCUAAAGCCUACCUUUGAUCCAAGCUCUCUCCCAAGCCAAGUUUGUAAGAGAAGGUUGCUUCACUUCCACGCAAACUCCUCUCCACCAAUCUCCACCUCUUGGAGCAAACCCUAUGAGAGAGAGAGAGAUUUAGAGAGAGAAAGAAAACUCUCUUUGGUUGGAGUUGUCAGGGGAAUGAGGGAAAAUGGGUUAAGAACCCAUCCAUAUACUCUCCCACAACACAAAUGCACAUAGCCCCUCACACAAAAGACAACUUUGCUCAACCCAACUUUUCACCCGUACGGGGUCCGGACCCUACAGACAGGGUCCGGACCCCGAGAGCAUUUCCAACGCAGCAAACUUGGAAUUUCACCAACUUUGCUCUCCAAGGUCCAAGCACCUAUUAAACCAUUCUGAAAUAUCAGGAACAUCCAACAGACCUCUCCAAUUCGUUUAUUACCAUGCUUCGGUCAAUUUGACUGCAGUUCAGUACAUCCUACCGAAGUUUCGGUAUGUUACAAUAGGUGACACCUUCAAGAAAAUGCGGUCGCCUACCGUGAAUUCUAAAUCUCGCCGACGCUUGUUUGCAUAACUCUUUUGUCGGGCUUGUGCCGUCAAUAACCUUUAUCGCGCUAAACGGACCUUUUCCUCCACAAUUUGCAACACGUCGGGUCCGAAAAUCAGUUUCUCACCGACCUCGCUCCAAUGUAUAGGGGAUCGGCAUUUCCUUCCAUAUAGGGCCUCAAAUGGUGCCAUACCAAUACUUGCCUGAUAGCUAUUGUUAUAAGCAAACUCUGCCAACGGCAAGUAGGUAUGCCACGUACCCUUAAAAUCCAUCACAUAAGCUCGGAGCAUAUCCUCCAAAAUCUGGUUUUUUUUCUCCGACUGACCAUCAAUUUGAGGAUGAAAUGUCGUGCUAAAAUUGAGCUGUGUGCCCAAAGCCUUAUGCAAACUAUUCCAAAAUUGAGACACAAAAUGGCAGUCCCGAUCAGACACGAUCAAUGUAGGAACCACAUGCAGAUGCACGAUUUCAUCUAAAUAUACUUGUGCUAAUUUUUCCCUCGUCCAAGUAGUGUGAACUGGCAAGAAAUGUGCCGACUUCGUCAAAUGGUCAACAACCACCCAGAUUGCAUCAUGGCCUCCUAGAGAUCGAGGCAGGCCCACUAUUCAAGUUUUCAAGCUUCAUCUUUUCUUUUUCAAAACUUCAAGGCUCCAACUCGACCCAUAAUAACUCGACACGACUUGUCACCAAAUACGCCAAUAAAAUCCAUAAUAUCUACUUAUUGGCUCAGUGCUUUCGAGCACCCACAGCAUCCUCAGUGUAUCUGAAACUGCUCUAAAAUACAAGUUUUAGCUUAGUUCACUUUUUCGAGUCUGUUUUCGCAUCCAUUUUGUGCCAAAAUAGCUGAAACUCGGUCUAGCACUCUUUAGAAGUGCCAACUAUCAUCUCAUACUACAACCUUGCUUGUUUGUAAAGAUUUAAUAGAUUACAUCCUAUUCCCAACAAAAAGUUUCAUUUUCGAAUCUUAAAACAUGUACUCAUUCUAGUGUCGCGAACAGGUAAAGGUAGGUUUCUCGCAUCACAUCCUCUAACUCCUAGAUCGCCUCUUGCUUUUUAUGAUUGCUCCAUAAUACUUUCACAUAAGGAAUGAUCCGAUUUCACAAUUUUCCUCUUAUGCAACAUUUGAACCAGUCACAUUUUGUAGCUGAAGUCCUCGCUUAAUUCUAUUAGAGCAAAAUCAAUCAUAUGCGAAUGAUCAAACACAUACUUUCUCAAUGCAAAAAUAUAAAACGCAGCAUGCACCUCACUAUGCUACUAAUCUCAGUGAUAGUGCAAGUUGAUAUGCUACUAGUCCAACUAGCUCUAAUACCUCGAAAGGUCCAAUAUGCUGUGGAUUUAGCUUUUCAUGCAUUCCAAAUCUUUGCAUUUUUCUAGAUGGCAAAACCUUCAAAAAUACAUGAUCUCUAAUCAAAAACACUAGGUCACGUCAUCGUAUAUCAGCAUAACUCUUUUUUCAACUUUGAGAGAUCACCAAAUGUUGUCAUGCAAUCUUGAUCGGGAUCCAAACCCCAACUGGAAUGUUUGGACCUUGCCUACAUAACUCAAGUAGAACUGUCAGGAUCCGAACUUUCAAUGAGAAGUUUGGACUUCACAUAAUCUAGGAGAAAAUUGAUUGUUGCAAUUUAUCUCUUUUGGGGGGAUUAAGUUGCAAUUGUGCAACUCUAUAUAAGAUCCCUACAGCUCUUUUUCUUCUUCACUUCUCCUCAAAUAAGAGAGAACUCCUCCUAUUUUUCUAAAACACAUUUCCCUCUCCCUCUAACUCUAAUCCAUCUCCCUUAUUAACAAUUUCUGUAUAAAGAUUGGAGAUUUUAGAGCGAGAGCAAGUUGCGGAGCUCUUCUAGAGGGUGAAGCGAGCUCAUAGGACUUAAAGAGCUAACCUUACAAGGAAGAAAAGGUGAGUUCUCUUGCAAUUUCUUGUUAGGAUUUAGGGGUAAUCUUAUAGAAAUGAGAUUUUGAAAAAAAAACCAAGAGAGACGAACUAUUUGAUUUCAAUGUUUUACUAAAUGAUUGAGGAUUUCUCUUGAAUUGGAAAAUCUAGAUCAAAAUUGUGGCUUUUGUACCCAAAGAGUUUAAAAUCAUCUAAACCUUGAAAAUUCAAAUUGAAGGGUGGAUUGAAUUGGGGAGCAACAAAGAAUCACUUUAUGAUGAGAUUAUCGCAACCAAUUGAGGGAUUUGGCCGAUUUUGAAGGAUUUUGGCCAAAUUGGACUUUGGGCUUAAACAAUUGCAUAGAGAAAGUAAGCUUUCGGCAUAGAACUCUAAUUGAAGAUGGGUUGUGCUAUUCCAAAGUGGUUGGAUUGCUUUCCAUUUCAUGUUGAACCUAUAAGUGUAAUGUUGUAGCUUGUAUAGUAAAUACACAUGCAUGUGCAUUCUUAUGUGAGAUAUACGUUCUUGUGAUAAGUUAGCUAUCAUGAUGUAAGAGAUUUUCACACUCUUGUCAAUAUGGUUGGUUAUAGCUGUCACGCCUCAAGCCCCACGCCUAUUUGGCCGGGUUCGGACCGCCGAUAGCGCCGAACGGACAGGGUUUCCCCUGUACCGCAGACAUAGUCUCCCAUGUACGUUCAAGGCUCAAAAAACAGUACAAUACAAGAGGUUCCAAACAGGAACAGUAUUCGUACAAUGAUUGUAUAAGGAAAGUAUCAAACAACAUAACACAUCCUAUAUUAUUACAACCAUUCCCAUUAGAUUCAUUUUUACAUCACACUUGCAUAUUACAUUUUAUAACCUCCAAAUACAAUCAAGUUACUACAUCAUUUAUUUACAAGUUUGAUACAUUGUGUUCUUUUCCCAUUCCUAUACCCCUAGGCUAUGUCGACUCGGGGUACCGCUAUUUCUGGUCUUUGGGGUAGGGCGUUAUCUAUGGAGCUACGCCCUUGCCUCGCGCCGUCGCGCCGCUCACGUGCGAACCUGUAACACCUCAAAACAACGUGGGGGUGAGAACCAACUCCAUGGUUCCCAGUGGGUACAUCCACCCAAGAAAAAAGCUCGACCAAUUGGUCCAAGGAGGCACUGCAAUCAUGUUAGUCCAAAAACAUCUACGGAUAUAUAUAUCAAUAUGUAAUUAUGCAACUAACAGAUAACAUACCUCACAAUAUGCAAUAUGAAUAUUAUGCAACAACUAGUAGAUCUAUUGAUUCUACAUUCACUUGGCUAGUCUUAGCUCAUGUCGUUCAUCUCUAAGGUGUCUACUACCUUAGGUUCACAAUUCGAGUUCAACUAGCUUCUAAGGUCUCUAUUACCUUAGCUCUUGCCUCUAUCACUAGCUUAUAAGGUUUCUACUACCUUAUUCAAGCUAUCCACCCGACUCGGCCUCGAGUCAAUCAUUCGCAGAUAGUCUACGCACUGGCUGCACCUCAACCUGGCUGCCGUCACAACCCACCGCACCUCUUGACUUAGCCAUCUGGCGGCGAACGCAUCGCCCUUACCCAGCAAUGACUCGAGUCAUGACUUAGCCAUCUGGCGGCGAACUCAUCACAUCUUACCCAACAAUGGUUCAGGUCACGACUCAGCCAUCUGGCAGCGCACGCAUCGCCCCUACCCAGCAAUGGUUCAAGUCAAUCCAGGCGGCAUCAUCCAAUAAGCUAAGUGGGCGAGGAGAACCACACAUACCCAUUUUGAGCUUAUACCGGGUGAGGAGAACCACACAUACCCGUUGGAUCAUUAUUCUCAUGGCAUACCGGGGGAGAAGAACCACACAUACCCGUUGAAUCACUGCCGGGCGAGGAGAACCACAUAUACCCGUAGUUAUGAUUCUAAAUGUCAUCUCUUGUACUCUGCUGCAAGUUUCCAUCACUAGGGAUUUCGGAAUCCAUUUCACAACUCAAGGGUUGGUCUCAAACCCUAUAGUAUCAACCUAUCUAGGUCCGAUGUCCUUUCCACCCUAAGUCCAACUGACUCUAGGUUCAACGCCUCUAUCACAUAACCUAGGUUUACUUUAACUGUAUGUUCAAUCCAUAACCUAUGUUCUUUAACACUAGGUUCGAUGCCACUCAUGAUUCAUCCUAAGUUCAACAACACUAGGUUCACAUGUUAUCUUUACCUAGAUCUUGACUCUAGAUUCACUUGUUCAACCUAUGUUUACUAACACUAGGUUCAAUGCCAUUUAUGUCCGACCUAUGUUUACUAACACUAGGUUUGAUGCCACUCGAUCUACUUGACAUCCUAGUUGUCCAAUCGAGUAUUCUAUAAUUCACAUGCAUAUAUAAUCUAGCAUAUCCUCACAAUGCUAAUCAUGUGUAUGUUACCAUGCAUUCAUCUCAAUGCCAACAUGCAUUAUUUAAUAGCCAUUACAUUAUUAUGCCUCUCCUAGCAUCAUGUAAUCAUGCAUUUACCUAGCAUGUAUUCCACCACGCAUAUAGAUAUUAACAUGCAUCUAUCCACUAGCAUAUGUCAUCAUACAAUUAUCUAGCAUUUCUAUAACAUGCUCAUCAUGGAUUCUAUGGUAGUUAUAGUAUAGCAAUUAUAACAUGCAUUCACCUAGCAUUUAAUCCUUGCAUUUUUCUACCAUUUAUAUGUAUCAACAUGAAUUCACGUUUCUCUUAGACAUAGAGGCGACCUAGUCACUUCGGUGAGCACAACCUACCACAAUUCGCUCUCCGAUUGCUUGUAGUCACUUCCAAUUGGCCUCCCGCGGCACCCGUAUCCGGCACGGCCCAAUCUUGCAGUUGCGCACCAACCAUGCGUCGAAUCACGGCUCUGGAAAUUAUAGGUCUACGGUUUGCCGCCACGGUGCUCCAAAUCCAUUUUCAUAAUUUUUGGACGUCGCCUCGGUCCUCCAGGCGGAAACGAAGCUCCGAACGUCCGUUUCUUCAAUAUCUUCGCGUAGGUUCGACGGAUCACCGAACCGACUUCGCCAACGCGUCGGAAUACCUAGCAAUUAGGUUUACGGAAGGUCAAUUGAGAUCGAACCCAACUAUUUCCAAAAACCCCAAAAUUGGAGCCCCAGAUGCCACAAUUGCAUAAUCUAUCAUUUAGUCUCUAGAUUCAUGCAUUAUCCAACUAUUUAGCAUCAUAGCAGUCAUCUAAAAUCAAAUCUAGAGUUUAUAAAUCAAACCCUAGCUACUUGCCAUUAAAGAGCAUCAAGCUUACCUCUUCAAGCUUGCUCCAAUGGACCAAAGAAGAAGAAGAAGAAGUAGAGCUCCUUCUUCAAGCCUUCUCCUCCACCAUCUCUUCUCCUUGCUCCACUUCUAGAGAGAGAGAAGAGAAAUCUAGAGAGAAGGAGGAGCUCCUCUCUCUAGCUCAUAUGUGUAUGUGUGUGUGCGUUUGGGUUGAGAAAGGAAGAAAGGUUAAAGCCCUUUUCUAGAAGCAACCCCACCACUUUACAAGAUUGCCCCUACUCAAACUGGGCAUUUUUAGGUCUCGGGGACCGGUCCUUGGCUUAAGGGACCGGACCCCGUAGGUCCAGAAUUUCAGCACUUUCUAGACUUAGCCAAAUUUCAGCAUUUUUCAGCUUUUUCGUCUGUUUUCGCUCCUUUUUGCUCGUUAGGCCUCCAAUUCAUUUCAAAUCGAACCGAGACUCUCCAAACACGUUUUCGAGCAUGUUUUCAUCACCUUUUCAUCCACGCUAAUGCCGGAUUUAGCUCACGGCCCAACAUAGCCUUUCGGGUUCUGUUUUCGCGCCUACACGUAUCGAAACGCCCGAAUGUUCCCGAACUUCACCGAACUUCACCGAACUUCACCGGAACCAUUCAAAUGGCUCACCAAACCAAUAUACACCGUAACUUCAUAAUUUUAAAAGUCCAGUACCUUACAAAAGCCUUCUAAUCUAUAUUACGAACUAUUAAAUUAGUAUGACAUUCUCU
rnacentral:lncRNA from 1 species